GACGAACGCUGGCGGCGUGCUUAACACAUGCAAGUCGAACGGAAAGGCCCUGCUUUUGUGGGUUGCUCGAGUGGCGAACGGGUGAGUAACACGUGAGUAACCUGCCCUUGACUUUGGGAUAACUUCAGGAAACUGGGGCUAAUACCGGAUAGGAGCUCCUGCUGCAUGGUGGGGGUUGGAAAGUUUCGGCGGUUGGGGAUGGACUCGCGGCUUAUCAGCUUGUUGGGGGGGUAGUGGCUUACAAGGGCUUUGACGGGUAGCCGGCCUGAGAGGGUGACCGGCCACAUUGGGACUGAGAUACGGCCCAGACUCCUACGGGAGGCAGCGGUGGGGAAUAUUGCACAAUGGGCGGAAGCCUGAUGCAGCAACGCCGCGUGCGGGAUGACGGCCUUCGGGUUGUAAACCGCUUUCGCCUGUGACGAAGCGUGAGUGACGGUAAUGGGUAAAGAAGCACCGGCUAACUACGUG
rnacentral:rRNA from 1 species